GAUGAACGCUAGCGGCAGGCUUAAUACAUGCAAGUCGAGGGGCAGCAUAAGUAGCAAUACUUGAUGGCGACCGGCAAACGGGUGCGGAACACGUACGCAACCUUCCUUUAAGUGGGGAAUAGCCCGGGGAAACCCGGAUUAAUACCCCGUAAUAUUAUGAUGUGGCAUCACAUUAUAAUUAUAGAUUCAUCGCUUAAAGAUGGGCGUGCGCCUGAUUAGGUAGUUGGCGGAGUAAAGCCCACCAAGCCUGCGAUCAGUAACUGGUGUGAGAGCACGACCAGUCACACGGGCACUGAGACACGGGCCCCGACUCCUACGGGAGGCAGCAGUAAGGAAUAUUGGUCAAUGGACGCAAGUCUGAACCAGCCAUGCCGCGUGG
rnacentral:rRNA from 1 species